rnacentral:rRNA from 1 species
AGUGAACGCUGGCGGUAGGCCUAACACAUGCAAGUCGAACGGCCGCACAGUGAGAGCUUGCCCUUACGGGUGGCGAGUGACGGACGGGUUAGGCAUACAUCGGAUUCUACUAUUUCGGGGGGGAUAUCGUGGGGAAACUUACGCUAACACCGCAUAUGUUCUACGGGUUAAAGCAGGGGUUCUUCAGACCUUGCGCGAUUCAAUGAGACGAUGUCGGAUUAGCUAGUUGGCGUGGUAAAGGCACACCAAGGCAACGAUACGUAGCUGGUCUGAGAGGAUGAUCAGCCACACUGGAACUGAGACACGGUCCAGACUCCUACGGGAGGCAGCAGUGGGGAAUAUUGGACAAUGGGCGCAAGCCUGAUCCAGCCAUACCGCGUGGGUGAAGAAGGCCUUCUGGUUGUAAAGCCCUUUUGUUGGGAAAGAAAAGCAGCAUGUUAAUACCCCGCUGUUCUGACGGUACCCAAAGAAUAAGCACCGGCUAACUUCGUG